CCUGGUUGAUCCUGCCAGUAGUCAUAUGCUUGUCUCAAAGAUUAAGCCAUGCAUGUCUAAGUGCAUGCCAAAUUAAGGUGAAACCGCGAAUGGCUCAUUAAAUCAGUUAUGGUUCCUUAGAUCGUACCCACAUUUACUUGGAUAACUGUGGUAAUUCUAGAGCUAAUACAUGCAAACCAGAGUUCCGACCAGAGAUGGAAGGAACGCUUUUAUUAGAUCAAAACCAAUCGGUGGCGGGCUUUGCUCGUCCCCCGUUUACUUUGGUGACUCUGAAUAACUUUGUGCUGAUCGCACGGUCUCGUACCGGCGACGCAUCUUUCAAAUGUCUGCCUUAUCAACUGUCGAUGGUAGGUUCUGCGCCUACCAUGGUUGUAACGGGUAACGGGGAAUCAGGGUUCGAUUCCGGAGAGGGAGCCUGAGAAACGGCUACCACAUCCAAGGAAGGCAGCAGGCGCGCAAAUUACCCACUCCCGGCACGGGGAGGUAGUGACGAAAAAUAACGAUACGGGACUCAUCCGAGGCCCCGUAAUCGGAAUGAGUACACUUUAAAUCCUUUAACGAGGAUCAAUUGGAGGGCAAGUCUGGUGCCAGCAGCCGCGGUAAUUCCAGCUCCAAUAGCGUAUAUUAAAGUUGUUGCGGUUAAAAAGCUCGUAGUUGAAUCUGUGUCGCACGCUGUCGGUUCGCCGCUCGCGGUGUUUAACUGACAUGCUCGUGAGACGUCCUACCGGUGGGCUUAGCUCCUUCGGGGGCGGUCCAACUAAUAUCCCAUCGCGGUGCUCUUUAUUGAGUGUCGAGGUGGGCCGGUACGUUUACUUUGAACAAAUUAGAGUGCUUAAAGCAGGCUAUCAUUUGCCUGAAUAUUCUGUGCAUGGAAUAAUGGAAUAGGACCUCGGUUCUAUUUUGUUGGUUUUAAGAAACCCGAGGUAAUGAUUAAUAGGGACAGAUGGGGGCAUUCGUAUUGCGACGUUAGAGGUGAAAUUCUUGGAUCGUCGCAAGACGGACAGAAGCGAAAGCAUUUGCCAAAAAUGUUUUCAUUAAUCAAGAACGAAAGUUAGAGGUUCGAAGGCGAUCAGAUACCGCCCUAGUUCUAACCAUAAACGAUGCCAGCUAGCGAUCCGCCGAAGUUCCUCCGAUGACUCGGCGGGCAGCUUCCGGGAAACCAAAGCUUUUGGGUUCCGGGGGAAGUAUGGUUGCAAAGCUGAAACUUAAAGGAAUUGACGGAAGGGCACCACCAGGAGUGGAGCCUGCGGCUUAAUUUGACUCAACACGGGAAACCUCACCAGGCCCGGACACCGGAAGGAUUGACAGAUUGAGAGCUCUUUCUUGAUUCGGUGGGUGGUGGUGCAUGGCCGUUCUUAGUUGGUGGAGCGAUUUGUCUGGUUAAUUCCGAUAACGAACGAGACUCUAGCCUGCUAAAUAGGCGUACCUUAUGGUAUCUUGAAGGCCCCCGGCUUCGGUCGGGGGGUUUUUACUACCAACGUACAAAUAAAUCUUCUUAGAGGGACAGGC
rnacentral:rRNA from 1 species